CUUUAAAUCUCUUGAGCUCUGAAAGAGUAACCUAUGAGCAGCAAGGUUUAAUCUUAGGCCUAACUCUAAAUCUAAAGUCUGGAUAAAUGAUAGGAAUACAUAAGGAUGCUCCAGGAGCGAAAUGAAGGUGACAGUUGGAUGACAUGACCAUAUUUUAAGGAAUAUAAGAUGGAUGAGGAAUGGCAAGCUCUCAGUAUAAAAAUGCAGGAGACACAUCUUUCUCCUCUCAUGCCAUGUGAGCCACAGACUCUGAUGCUAUCAGAGAUCCACUUCCACUUCAGAGUGCAAACUUUCAUCUAGCGGCGGUCUCACUGUAAACACAGGAACAAAACACUCAUCCACACAUUUAAAAAUAACACGACAAUACAAUGUGUCACUGUUGCUUUUUUUGUUUAAAUAGGAAAUUAAAUUUAGUUUCAGUGUCAUUUUGCGUCGCUUGUAACCUGAUGGAAAGAGAAUGGAUGUUCAGCAGCAUCCUUCUCCACUUCCUCCACCAUGCCUCGUCUUGACGUCUCAGCGGUCUGCAUUGCUGUCUAGGAUGUGAAAUGUUUACUUUUUCCAAUCUUGGCAAGGAAAAGGACUUUUUACACAAUGAGGAGCAUUCCCCUGAACAACUUUGGGUAAAGAGCCUUGACUUGGGUUAAAUGGUGGUAACUCAUCAAUGAUCCCUUCUGGGGUUCUAACUUAUAACCUAGCAUGCUUAAUCUGUGGCUUAACCACUAAGCCACAGCCAAACACCACUGUCCAAACCAUCUCUGAGCAGAGUUUGGCAGCAAACCUCCACAUCUUUUUGGCAUAUUUGUAUGUGUUAGAAAGCAUUACAAAUUCCAGUCAUCUCAAAUUCGUUUAACUAACAAACACUUCAUAUUCCAUUUUGCUCAAAGGUUUGUGGUUUCCUUACAAACUGGAGAAAUGUGCAAGGGACUACAUUCCAUGUUUGGACUCCCUUUUUAUGGGAAAAUGUUUUGACUUUUUUUUUUUAUUCUGUAUGCUUAUUUUGUCACUGGAAAUUACAUAAAGGGUGGGACGCAGAGAGAAACUGUACAGAUACAUUGUACAUGCCAAUCCCUGGAAAUGUAGUAAAUACGGUGGCUAUUACAAUGACGGAUGUUGUAAUGGAAAAAGUGCAUAUAAUAUUCCAAGAGGUAUUGAUGAGGAAAUAUCCCAAGCCCUGGAUGCAUCUGAGCAAGAAGAGGUAAAAAAACAAAGAGCAUAUUCACUAAACAGUUGCGUCAUCUUUGCACACAGUAUUUCAACACAAAAUCGUGUUGUUGCAACAUAGCCUACUUUGUUUUUGACUAUGUAAGUAAGUUUUUGCAAAAUACUUUAAUUCAUAUUUAGUAUUUACAUUUGGUUGUUGUUGUCUCUACACAAACACCUCUCCUUUUUUCUUUUUCUUUUCUUCUUUUUAUCCAGAUUGGAGUAUUUGGCUUGCACAGUUAAUUCAGCUCUUUUGCUGCCCAUAGAAAGCUGAAAGGAAUUUUAAUGCUUGUUUACAUUUUCUGUUAAUCAUGACAACAGUUGUUCAGCAAAUGAUGAUCAGAUGAUGGAGAAAAGCAACAGAACCACGUAUGCAGACAUACUGUAGAAAAUCUCCCUUUUAGAACUGAUAAGAAAUUAAUAAAUAAAUAAAAAUAAAAGUCAGAUCUUGCACUCAGAAUCGACCUGCAAGAUCUGGAACUGUGCUCAGCACUAUGAAAGCCCUUUUUUUGUGCCACACAAGACAAAAUUUAUGCUUUGGUAAUUAUAAUUAUCACACAAAAGUCAUAAUUGCAAGAUUAAAAAGUCAAGUUAUGAGAUACUAUUAGCAAUUAUGAGAUAAAGAUGAAAAGUAGGAUAAGCUGAAAUUGACACAAAAACUCUCAAUUGUGUAACAUUAUUAAUGAUAUCAAAAUGUACAAUCUUACAAUUAUCACUUUUGUCAAUAAUUUUUAUGAGAUGAUUUCAACUGUGUAAUUUUGACGCACCCAUAAUUUAAAAAUGUUGCGAUUUUAAAAAUAUUGAUUUCUUUGAAAACUCAAAAUUUACUUCAUGAUUUAGCCUUUUAACCUCAAAACUCACCCAUAAUCGCCUCAUUAUCUCAUAAUUGUAUUAUCAUUAUCAUAAUUAUGAUUUACUAUAGCAUGAUUUAUUUGUAUUUUUUUCUUAAGUCUGUAAACAUAUUUGCACCAUAACGUGGCAUAUGAUCUUUAGAGACACUAACUAGACACUAAAACGACACGAACAACAACUGCAUGUCAUUCUCCGUGAAUUCCCCCGAGAGAGAGGAUCAGCCAAACGUCUCACUCUGUCUGUAUUUAUUGUUUUGUGAUUCAGUUACAGCAUUAUUGUAGAACAGAGGCUCUCAAUAAAACCCAUAAAAGUGUCAGUCUCAGAGUAACAUAAAACGCUGUUUAUGGGUUAUUGGAUGGAUCCAGAGGCGGAUUUGAGUUUGCUCUCUGGAGCGAGUCGAUGUGAGAAAAAGUAAGCUGUGGCAGGCUUUCCUGUUCCAUUGUUGUGCCUCUGGAAAUUCUCCAUGGCUAUGAUAUGAUCUUAACUCACUCCUGAAAUCCUGCAGUGCCGAACGGACCAUGUUUCUUCCUGCAGGAUUACACAGGGCACGUCUAGUUCAGUGUGGCAUUAGCUGACAGUGUCAGUCUGUGACACAAUGCCCCUGAGAUGGGAUGAUGUCCUCCUGUCUAGACUGUCUUUAACUCUGCCAUGACCUCUCCAGUAACAAACACGCUCAAACGCACAGUGGAAAAAAGGUUCGGAUGUUGCAGAUUCAGUUCAGUUUUUAAUCUAGUCUCAGAGUCUGAGGGAUAGUUCACCCAAAAAUAAAAUUCCAACAUAAUUUCAUCACCCUCAUGUCAUUUCAAACCUGUAUCUUAUCUUAUUUUGGAGGAUGAAUGGUUGAAAGAAUAAUUGGAUGACUGGAUGGAUGAUUGGGCGGUGAUAUGAAAUCAAUGGAUGGUUGAAAUUAUAAAAAUUGUGAUAUGAAAUCUGCUUGAUCCAUGCAUCAGAUUUGACAAGUCAUGACAAGUGUCAUUUUGGCAUUGCAGAGCAAAGGAAUAACUAGGAUCACCUAAAUAGAGAGGGCGCCGUAUUCAUGAAGAAAUGAAGGCCAUGUGGAGGACUGCCAUCCAAGCAUUUCCUCUCCAUCCACGUGGCUUACAUUGCAAUGUGAAGAGUCCAUUAGCAGAGCUCACAGCAAACUGACAGAGUCAAUAUUAGCAUAGAACACACACAGACACACAAGGACGGUCAGCCGCACAUGAGGCGGCCCAGUGUGUCUUAUUGAUGCAGUGUAAAUAGAGCGACUGUAAAUGUUAAUACAGCAAAGUUUUUAUUAGUCGCUCAUUCUGUAAUUAUGCCAGUGAGUCUGGCCAGCAACCAAAAGCUUUUGAUUAAUGAUCAUGUUUAAAUGAACUAAUAGCAAUGUGGCAGAAAAGGACAGUUAUGGUCUAUUUGUGGUAAAGAUUGUAAUUUAAUAAGUUUAAGUAAACAUGA